UAGCUUAAAAGUCAAGGCCCUUCCCUUACACUGAAGAGAUAUUUGUGCAAAUCAAAUCGUUUUGAUGCCAAACAGCUAGCUUCUAACCAAAAACAACAAACAAUUAAUAAUAACCCCACAUUAAUUACCCUUAACCAAUAAAUCAUUCUACCCAUUUAGUAUGUGCGACAGAAAAAGAAACUUAAGCUAUAGAAAAAGUACCGCAAGGGAAAGCUGAAAAAGAAAUGAAACAAAUCAGUCAAGCAAAAAAAAGCAGAGACUCAUCCUCGUACCUUUUGCAUCAUGAAUUAGUUAGAUACCCCAAGCAAAGAGACCUAUAGUUUGCCCCCCCGAAACUAAGUGAGCUACUCCGAGACAGCCUAAUAAUAGGGCGAACCCGUCUCUGUGGCAAAAGAGUGGGAAGAGCUCCGAGUAGAGGUGACAAAUCUACCGAACUUAGUUAUAGCUGGUUGCCUGAGAACUGAAUAUAAGUUCAGCCUCCCGGCUUCUCUACACACUACUACAUCCAGACAGUUACUAAAGAACACCGAGAGCGUAAGUUAAAGGGGGAACAGCUCCUUUAACAUAAGAUAC
rnacentral:rRNA from 1 species